rnacentral:lncRNA from 1 species
UUAACUCCAGCUGGGCGAGCGGAGACUGAAGUGAAGGGCUGCUGCUCAGCUCCCGGCUGAGAGGGAAGGCUGCUGCAGGAAAUAACAGCACAUUUCUAAAUCCUCGCCUGUUGGCUUGAUGGAAUUGAGCAAAGCAGAAUUAGCCGCGGUGGAUCACAGGACUAACAAGUGCUAAUUUCUGCACGGUUAAGCGUGCAACGAACUCAAAUGAAGCGGGGUCACAGAAAGGAGUUUGGUGUUUCUUUGUGGUUUCAUGCAUGACAAGAACCUUAAGCUACGCAAACAAUUACAGAAAUACAAUUAGAUAAGUGACUGGUGAACCUUGCCCAACCCUGUUCCUGGCAGCUCUAAUUUUUUUUAUUUUUUUUUUUUUUUUUUUUUUUUUUUUUCAGAUUGAAAUGUUUUAGAAUUAAAAUGCCUUGGGAAAGAAGAACUAUGUUUUGUUGUGGUGCAGAUUACAUCCUUCUCAUGUGAGAGAAGAUGACAGCAAUGCUCAGCCAAGGCUGCUGAGGACAGUGGGAGACUGAAGUCACCGUUGUCCUCCUGGGAACCAACUGGUGUGAGGGAUGAUUCAGCAGCCAAUGGGUAUGAAAGAUUGAGGAAGAUAGAGGGGAAACCAGCAGCUCUUCCUGGGAAGACUAAUAGCUGUAGCAGCAGAGAUCUGUCAUAUCUUCACAACUGCCCUGGUUUACAGCACAGUCCCCAUCUGCUGCAUGUAAAGAAGGCAACGUCAGCCAUAAAAUAUUGGAAGUCUGACUCCAGCACAAAGAUCCCUGACAAUUUAAUAAGAAUUCCUUGUGAUGCUUCACCAGCUCUUUCAUGGCUUUGACACAAUGCCUCGGGCAGAAUGGAUUAGAUGGGCUCACGGGCACUUUCCAAGAGGGAAUUGCACUGGCCAAUGUGUGAGAGUCAACCUACCAUCCCACUUCAUCAUCGCGGACUGAUGCCUUGCAUCCUGUAAAGUGAGGCUAACCUCGUACUCCCCGACCCCUUAUUUUCUGUGAGACAAGACAGAGGAUGUUACCGAUGCCUCCUUGAAUGUCUGACACAUAAUUCUUAAUGGGACAUUGUGUUUAAUAAAUGCAUGGCUGUGUUGCUUGUAUAGGAAAGC